rnacentral:rRNA from 1 species
UGGAAGUAAAAGUCGUAACAAGGUCUCCGUUGGUGAACCAGCGGAGGGAUCAUUACCGAGUUAUUCAACUCAUCAACCCUGUGAACAUACCUAAACGUUGCUUCGGCGGGAAUAGACGGCCCCGUGAAACGGGCCGCCCCCGCCAGAGGACCCUUAACUCUGUUUCUAUAAUGUUUCUUCUGAGUAAAACAAGCAAAUAAAUUAAAACUUUCAACAACGGAUCUCUUGGCUCUGGCAUCGAUGAAGAACGCAGCGAAAUGCGAUAAGUAAUGUGAAUUGCAGAAUUCAGUGAAUCAUCGAAUCUUUGAACGCACAUUGCGCCCGCCAGUAUUCUGGCGGGCAUGCCUGUUCGAGCGUCAUUACAACCCUCAGGCCCCCGGGCCUGGCGUUGGGGAUCGGCGGAGCCCCCCGUGGGCACACGCCGUCCCCCAAAUACAGUGGCGGUCCCGCCGCAGCUUCCAUCGCGUAGUAGCUAACACCUCGCGACUGGAGAGCGGCGCGGCCACGCCGUAAAACACCCAACUCUUCUGAAGUUGACCUCGAAUCAGG